AUUGAACGCUGGCGGCAUGCUUUACACAUGCAAGUCGAACGGUAACAGGCCGCAAGGUGCUGACGAGUGGCGAACGGGUGAGUAAUGCAUCGGAACGUGCCCAGUCGUGGGGGAUAACUACUCGAAAGAGUAGCUAAUACCGCAUACGAUCUAUGGAUGAAAGCGGGGGACCGUAAGGCCUCGCGCGAUUUGAGCGGCCGCUGUCAGAUUAGGUAGUUGGUGGGGUAAAGGCUCACCAAGCCAACGAUCUGUAGCUGGUCUGAGAGGACGACCAGCCACACUGGGACUGAGACACGGCCCAGACUCCUACGGGAGGCAGCAGUGGGGAAUUUUGGACAAUGGGCGCAAGCCUGAUCCAGCAAUGCCGCGUGCAGGAAGAAGGCCUUCGGGUUGUAAACUGCUUUUGUACGGAACGAAACGGCUCUGGUUAAUACCCGGGGCUAAUGACGGUACCGUAAGAAUAAGCACCGGCUAACUACGUG
rnacentral:rRNA from 1 species